rnacentral:lncRNA from 1 species
GCCUUCCGGGCUUUGUAGCGUGUAUAUCGGAAACGGAAUGAAAAGGGUGUUUUGUGUUACCUCAUCCGCGCGUUGCGCUAAAUUGUCGUUCGCCGAACUUCUCUUGUGGUUUGACCUGUCUGAUGUAGACGUCGUUGGGGGGUGCCCGAUCAUCGAUGCGUUAACUCACCUUUCUCGUCGUACAUGGCCGCAAGCCCGAGCUUGACCGUUCGGGCUCCGCAUUGCUUUGGGGAUGUCGUUGUCUUCCUAAGCGGUGUCAAAAG